rnacentral:rRNA from 1 species
AUACGGAGGGUGCAAGCGUUAUCCGGAAUCAUUGGGUUUAAAGGGUCCGCAGGCGGUCAAUUAAGUCAGAGGUGAAAUCCCGUCGCUCAACGACGGAACUGCCUUUGAUACUGGUUGACUUGAGUUAUACGGAAGUAGAUAGAAUGUGUAGUGUAGCGGUGAAAUGCAUAGAUAUUACACAGAAUACCGAUUGCGAAGGCAGUCUACUACGUAUAUACUGACGCUCAUGGACGAAAGCGUGGGGAGCAAACAGGAUUAGAAACCCCAGUAGUCC